UCCCCAACAAUUACAAGACUUGAAUCACUCCCCUCAUAAUGAGAGAGUAGUGGCCAAUAGAUAUCCGUCACAACAUCUAUAAAAGGAAGAUGAAGACCAUCCAAACCGCAACUUCAUCAUCUAACUAAUUACUCUCUCUCUCUUUUAAAAUAAGAAUCCAUGCGUUCACAUUAUAUGGAUAUGUCUAACUCUCUUUGCAUAAAUGAAAAUGAUUGCUCUCAGAGCAACAAAGAAGAAGAAGAAGAAGAAGAAGAAGAAGGUGGUGCUAAUAAUCUUGAUGAUGAUGAUGAUAUGGGAAACAAAUCUAGAAACAACCAGCUGCAGGUACUAUUUAAUCUUUACUUUCAUAGUUGAGAAGCUAACGAAGCAUAUAUAACUCAAAGAGCAUCUCGUUAAUAUUCUUUCUUUCUUGUUACUUUAUAUAAUUCGAUGCAACUCUCUGAACAUACACUUAGCUAGGCCGCGUUGGUAAAAAGCCAUGUCUAUCAUGAAAUAACAGUUAUAAUUAGGAAAUAAAUAUUGAUAAGUUUUUGUAAAUUUUUUAUCAAACCAACUGUAAGCAAGAUCAAACCACUCUUAACUUCUAAUUCGUGGUAAAAAUAAGUAUGGCUUUUAAACUACAGUUCUCCAACAACAGUACCCAACGGAGCUUUAGGCCUCAUCAAUCCUCUUCUCUUCCUUUCACAAUCGCAUACUAAUUCAUUUUUUUUUUUUAAUUUGAAGUAAAUAUUAAAUAUUACGUUGGUAUUCUAAUUAAUAAAUGUAUAAUUUUCUUUUUGCAGGCAAUAGGUGUUGGAAUUUAGUCCUGAAUGGAACACUCAUUUGAGCAAGAUAAACAAAGUAACUUGAGUGUCUGAAGAACAGGUUUCUUACAAAAUUUUAGAACCUCGACCUCGGACCUUCGUUACUUUCUUAAUAAGUUGUCUUUACUUUUCUAUAUACACAAUUUAAUUAAACGUUACUUUAUUUAAAAGAAUUUUUUACAUGCCAUACAAUAAAUGCAAACUAAGUAAAUAUUAUAUGCGAUCUCAUACCCUUCACAAGCCUUGUAAAAUUGAAUGAAUGUAAAAGCAAUGUAAGCGAGAAAGAAAGGAGUUGUAUUGAUCACUGAAUUAAUGGUGGUUGCAGAAUUGAUUGAACGAUUGUUGUCUUUAACCGUUUGUAACGACUAGACUUGUAUCAGAUUAAUUUUUAAUUAAUAGUUGAUUACGAUUUACAAAUUGACAACCAUACCAUUAAUUGUGAUUGUUUGCUCUUUUUUCUUAAUUUAUCCUUUAGAAUCUCAACAGUUGCAUGCGUGCUUGACAAAUUAA
rnacentral:lncRNA from 1 species